rnacentral:rRNA from 1 species
UACGGGGGGAGCAAGCGUUGUUCGGAUUUACUGGGCAUAAAGGGCGCGUAGGCGGCGCAACAAGUCACUUGUGAAAUCUCCGGGCUUAACCCGGAGCGGCCAAGUGAUACUGUCGUGCUAGAGUGCGGAAGGGGCUACUGGAAUUCUCGGUGUAGCGGUGAAAUGCGUAGAUAUCGAGAGGAACACCUGCGGCGAAGGCGGGUAGCUGGGCCGACACUGACGCUGAGGCGCGAAAGCCAGGGGAGCGAACGGG